GGGGAUGAGGAUGACCGACCGAGAUGGAGCGAUCGUCGGCGUCGGCGUCGGCGUCGGUGGGGUGGGCCGAAGAAGGAGAGGGGGGGAGGGAGGGGCGACCGGACGGACCAACCAAGGGAGGAGGGGGCGGUGCCAGCGACAGCGUCCUAGCGGUGGUGGCUCGGGGGUGACGGCGGUGGGCAUCGAGAGAGAGGUCGGAGGUCGAGGUCGUCUAGUCGUCGUCCUCAUCCGGCGUCGCCGUCGCAGACGGGUCGAGGCGGCGAAGGCGGCAGCUAGAGCCGGUCGGAAGGCGGGGGAGGUAAGGUGGCUGGGUGGGUGGUUUUUCUCGGGGAUGUGCGGCGGCGGGCUCCGAUCGAUCGGGCGGGCGAGCGAGGGAGCGAAGCACUCGGCGCGCGCGCGCCAGCGGCGAGGUCGUAGCGUCCUCCGGCCCGGACACCGACGCUCCGAGCGCCGCGAGUUAACCGAACGGCCCCCUGCGGUGCGGUGCGGUGCGCCGCCCGGAACAGGUCUUAUAAACGGCGUGCCUUUUUCGAUCAUCAUCUCGAUCGCUCGCUCGAACCACGCUAAGGAGGGGUCAAAAAUUAACCGAAGCCGUCGUCGCGGUCGGUUGCCGCUCGGGCGGGCGGGUGGUCGGCCUCCAUCCCCUCCUCGUGACCUCAUUUCUCCGCGGCGCCGGGCCCCUAAAAUAAUUACGCCGAAUCGCUCGCCCGCCCGAUUAAUAAAAUCGCGGCGACAGAGCCGACCCUUGAGCGCUUUCGAGCCGAGAAAACUCCAGCGGGGACGGGGGCGAGCGGCGGAGGAGGCGGGUUGGGGAGGCGCGGCGCGAGGGCGUGAGAGAGGGAGGGCGACCCUGACCCUCGUGAACAAAAGAAGACCCAUGGUCACGCCCACACGAAAGCGACCCCGGCCCCGGCCACCAGCAGCGCGUAAGGGUGUUCGUAUACCACGCGUAACACCCCCUACCCCUCAUCAUCAUUUAACCCCCUUCCGUACCUCCUCUUCCCCCCGUCCCACCCCUACCCGUUCAUGCGCCGGUCCGCCCCGACCUCCGCGGACCGCCGCCACCGGACCGACCACCGCCGCCACCGGACGAGCCGGCGGCACGUGACCGUCGACGCGGCCCUCUGGUACCUCGCGCGGCUCCUCGCCGAGCAGUCGUACACGCUCCUCGCCCGGUCCUACGACGUCCUCGUCAAGCCCCAGUGGCAGUUGGUGCAGGUGCGCGAGCGGUAGGAGUAGAGGUGGAAGGUGAAGCUCUUCUUGGGGAGGCGGGAGCUGGUCCUAUGAAAACGUUUCAUGUGCCGUUCCUGUAGUAAGCUCGCGGGCGACGAUUUACCCCACCGAAUGCGUGUCGCGGAGAAGGGAGUACUCUUCCUUUGAAAACUUUCUGUCGUACCUACCUAAUACUCCUGAUACUUAGCUCUCCCACGUGGAGAGGUUCUACUCAUGCGGGGCCACUAAAAGAGGGUCCUAUGCCAGAGGAUGGAACGCGCGUACCUGUACUACAGACCCCUCCUCCUGGCUCUUUUGUAGAACGCACGCUCCCUUUGACCGUUUGGACACAAUUGUUUGGGUAAAGCCGAAGAACCCAGCUUGGUGAACCCCCAUCAUGAGUGAAAACGUCACAUAGCGGGACUAGAUGGACGACUACGUAGUCAACUCGUUGCACACCUUCGUUGACGACCGAUAGAACCACCUCGGAAACUACACCUCAGUGAACACCUUUUAAACGACUCAUUUGAACGACCGUUAGUCCUAUAUAACCACUUACACAUACUACAGUGUUUACGAAGUCUUGGAUACCGGUACAUACCUAGAGUUUGAGGUCUAUUAUUUCACCUGGAGAACGUACAAUCGUACGAACUAAAACCUCUAGGCAAAUCCUUCGUACUUUACUCUACGUCCAUACCCGUUUUCGGAGGUUACGGCACCAGACGAUAAUCAUUAGGAUACCCGACGAAACAGUAUACCUACGAAUAACCCAUAUAUUAAACACGACGUACCAGAGCCAUACUGUUUCAAAGUCUCCUAACAUCUUUUUACCUUCUCGAGUUUUGAGUUCGUCUUCGACGACUAUAACGUUUCAGAGUCAAAGACCGUUGACAUAGUGUACUUUAAUCUUGAGGAUACUUGCCGCAGGAACCUUACGACCUGUACGAAAACCCCUGUCUAGACUGAUACUGAGUCUUCCUAAAACGAGUCUGGCGAGUCCUAACACCGUUUCGCAACUAUUAUGACUAUUUACUACAGGAACUAGCUCGUUUCAAACUUCGACCUUCCAACCUUGAACUCCUUCACGGAAAACUAAACGCUUGCGACUGCCUGCUACACUAGAGAAACAAACGGAGUUUCAAUUCUCGCUUCACGUAUCUCGAACGUCACAAACACUCACUGCUGCAAGGUUUUGAACAGUGGCCUCUAGGAACCUCUAAAGCUGUCUAUGACUGUUUAAAUCACCCGUUACGUCAGUUUAAGUGUCUUGCCCCAGUACAAAAACACGCCCAGAGAAACCGACUCUUGAGUUGAUACCUUCGAUUAGCUCAGGGGUUACCUUUGGAGUUACCCUUUCUAACAUUUCAACUCGGAUGUCGAUUACCACGGAAGUUAUGAAACUCACCCAAAGUUCGACGCCUACUUGCUUUAUCGACCCUUACAAAAUUCGACAACGAGAGACUAUUCCUCAAUGAAAGACUACUCGAGCUCCCACUUUUUAGAUCGGUUUUACUAAGGCUAGUGCACUGGAACUACUAUUCGUAACUCCUAUGUCCACAACCAUAAGGUGACGUACGUGUUCUAGCACAAAAAUGCGGAAAAUACGUCCGUCUAUCAAGUUGAAGUUCCUUAAUACCACCUUGACCAUAACCAAAUUCGUAGUCGUUUACAAACCGACUUGAAUACCCGCCCGUUUAUUCAAAAUAGUCGGCAGGAAGAUAACCCUCAUGUAAAUGUAAGAGUCGCCAACACUUCGCACGUAGGUUUCUAUGAAGUACACUAAGUCUCUCCUCGAACAGGCUCCGUGAUGGUUGACGGAAAUCCCCUUACUUCCGCUAAAACCAUCUACCCUUUGGACACGCAUCACGACACUGUUCUAUAGUGGAAUUGUCCGACCCUUAUUAACAAGUUCAACACUUAUUAUACUCAUACCCUUAAGUUCGGAAACCCUUUUUACCGCGUUGUCUCAGUUCUCUUUUUGGCAGCUACGAAAAAUAACUCUUACUGUACACCUCCGGGCUCUGUCUAUAAGUCAAUAGUUUAGCAGAUGUAUGCGAGUCCUACUUACCAGUCCGCGUACUCGAUGGGUUCGACUAGGAAAACCAGUGUAGACUUCGACUGUUCCUGUUCAUACCUAGGUGCAAGUUAUGACACUACACAUUUGGGAAUUCUCGUUCGUGUUAACGAAGAACAGAAGUCGUCAACGAUUUUCAUCUAUAUGGACGUUCCUUUCUUUUAGUUUUAUCCGGGAGUAAAGAAGCCUCGGACAACCAACCCUUCUUAUAUAACCAACAUCUACUGUUAUUUCAUUUAGACGCCCAACGAGUUCGGCGUGACUUCUUCAUACCACGGUUCCAAGUAACACAACUUUCACCGUUCCUACGAUAGAGGGAUGAAGUUGGAGGCGUAACGAAGGUACGUACAAAAUACCUGCAAGUUUACGGACUCUACCUACCCAAGCUCCGCUGAUCCGUUUAUGCUCUUUACCUCUUCUUUCGCUUGCUCUAUUUCUCUCUCGUCAGCUCAAGUCCCCUUCCAAGCUGUAAACAACUCACCGUAAACGGACAAGAACGCUACUGGCGGCUGCAGUAAGUCCGCUGGAUGCUUCUCACGUACUUUAGCCCCUACCUACCGAUGCACAGGUUUGGCAAACUGCUCGUCGUCGAUAUGGUUCGUCAGAGGUCUAAUCACCACCCUUGUCGACUAAGCCGGAGUACUAGACUAGCUAGCUCUGUCCUAGGCUGCGGAGCAACCAACUUCGCUUCGGUUCGACUGAGACUGAGAAAUGUUUGGACUGUACCUAUAGAGACGUUGUGAAACCUACUCUUCUGCUUCCGCGGAACUCGAUCACUUGAAGCAACGUCCGGCUCCAUUCCAUUUGCUGCUACGCGCAGCGGCGCCACCCGUACGUAAAGACGACCACGACCACGACGACGACGACGACGGGUCCCCCCAUCUACUUCUACUCCUCCACCGAGCUCUAUAUGAUCCAUCUAAUCCUAAAAAACCAAACGACAACCAUCAUCCGUCUACAUACAUACUACAACAUAGAGGACAGACAAGUAAGAAACUUGUAUACAUUGUAGAGACACGACACGUUACGACACGACGCGAGGGGGUUCCGGGUUCGAAGUCUCAGGCUACUUUUCCUUUCUACACCAUUUGACCCGCACAGAAAAAACAGACCGCUCUACGACUUAAACGAUCAGGAGAACGAGUCCACGAGACAAAGGGGGGAGACGUUUUUGUUGUCAACCUAAACUUAACCUGCCGAGUUUUAAGGCUAAAUGUGACAAAAAAG
rnacentral:rRNA from 1 species